AUCAACGUCUACGAGUAUUCAAUGUCGUACAGGUAUCCCGGGCGGCCCCUCAAGCCAAUAAGAGAAGCUUGCUUCUCUUGAGAACGGCGGAGGGGUGAGUAAUGCCUAUGAAUCUGCCUGGUAGUGGGGGAUAACGUUCGGAAACGGACGCUAAUACCGCAUACGUCCUACGGGAGAAAGCAGGGGACCUUCGGGCCUUGCGCUAUCAGAUGAGCCUAGGUCGGAUUAGCUAGUUGGUGGGGUAAUGGCUCACCAAGGCCACCAUCCGUAACUGGUCUGAGAGGAUGAUCAUUCACACUGGAACUGAUACACGGUCCACACUCCUACCGGAGGCUUCAGUGGGGAAUAUUGGACAAUGGGCGAAAGCCUGAUCCAGCCAUGCCGCGUGUGUGAAGAAGGUCUUCUGAUUGUAAAGCACUUUAAGUUGGGAGGAAGGGUUGUAGAUUAAUACUCUGCAAUUUUGACGUUGCCCACAAAAUAACCACCGUCUAACUCUGUGCCACCAUCCGCGGUAAUACCUAGGGUGCAAGCGUUAAUCGGAAUUACUGGGCGUAAAGCGCGCGUAGGUGGUUAGUUAACUUGGAUGUGAAAUCCCCGGGCUCAACCUGGGAACUGCAUUCAAAACUGACUGACUAAUAGUAUGGUAGAGGGUGGUGGAAUUUCCUGUGUAGCGCUGAUAUGUGUAGAUAUAUUGAAGGAACACACUAUGGCGAAAGCUACCACCUGUUUGUGAUACUGACUCUGACGUGCCAAAGCGUGUAGCAGCACACAGGGGUAGAUACCCUGGCUAGUCGAUGCCC
rnacentral:rRNA from 1 species